UACGUAGGGGGCUAGCGUUGUCCGGAAUUACUGGGCGUAAAGCGCGUGUAGGCGGCCAUGCAAGUCGGAUGUGAAAGCCCUCGGCUCAACCGGGGAAGUGCACCCGAAACUGCAAGGCUAGAGUCUCGGAGAGGAUCGUGGAAUUCUCGGUGUAGAGGUGAAAUCGUAGAUAUCGAGAGGAACACCGGUGGAGCGAAGGCGGCGCUCGGACGGUGA
rnacentral:rRNA from 1 species